rnacentral:rRNA from 1 species
AUACGGAGGGUGCAAGCGUUAUUCGGAAUCACUGGGCGUAAAGGACGCGUAGGCGGGUUGGCAAGUCAGAUGUGAAAUCCUACAGCUUAACUGUAGAACUGCAUUUGAAACUGCUAACCUAGAGUAUGGGAGGGGGAGAUGGAAUUAGUGGUGUAGGGGUAAAAUCCGUAGAUAUCACUAGGAAUACCGAAAGCGAAGGCGAUCUCCUGGAACAUAACUGACGCUAAGGCGUGAAAGCGUGGGGAGCAAACAGAAUUAGAUACCCCUGUAGUCC